UGGGGAAUAUUGCACAAUGGGCGCAAGCCUGAUGCAGCCAUGCCGCGUGUGUGAAGAAGGCCUUCGGGUUGUAAAGCACUUUCAGCGAGGAGGAAGGUGGUGGACUUAAUACGUUCAUCAAUUGACGUUACUCGCAGAAGAAGCACCGGCUAACUCCGUGCCAGCAGCCGCGGUAAUACGGAGGGUGCAAGCGUUAAUCGGAAUUACUGGGCGUAAAGCGCACGCAGGCGGUUUGUUAAGUCAGAUGUGAAAUCCCCGGGCUCAACCUGGGAACUGCAUUUGAAACUGGCAAGCUAGAGUCUCGUAGAGGGGGGUAGAAUUCCAGGUGUAGCGGUGAAAUGCGUAGAGAUCUGGAGGAAUACCGGUGGCGAAGGCGGCCCCCUGGACGAAGACUGACGCUCAGGUGCGAAAGCGUGGGGAGCAAACAGAUUAGAUACCCUGGUAGUCCACGCUGUAAACGAUGUCGAUUUUGGAGGUUGUGCCCCUUGAGGCGUGGNUUCCGGAGCUAACGNGUUAAAUCGACCGCCNGGGGAGUACGGCCCAAGGUUAAAACUAAAGGAAUUGCGGGGUCU
rnacentral:rRNA from 1 species